UAGGCUCAUGGGAAAACACUGCCCCCUACAGGAGAUGAACUGAGUGUCUAAAUGACAUAUACAGGAAAGAUGACAGUGUGAGGCAGCAGCAGCAGCGACAGACAUACCGCCCCAUGGCAGCUGAGAAUACAUACACCUAUGCCCUCCAUACUGUUUGAUACGUGAAACCAAUGUUAUACUUUUCGCUGGCUCAAAACAUGGUGUAAAUGACCUCGUUGGGGCUUGCGGACACCUGGAUGACACCACACGAGCAGUAUGGAGGCAUCUUAUGUGGUUUCUGUUUCAUUACGUCUGAAGAAUCAGUCACUCGUCACUUCAAUUGUGUUGGAUUCUGCUGCAACAAAGACAGAACCCCUCUGGAGGCCGCCGGUGAAACUGGAGAGCCAGAUCUUUGGCAGACGCUGCAGGGUCCUCAAAAGGCCA